GAGACCAAUCGCUUUGCGCUGGCCGCUGCCAUGGAAACUGGAGGCUGUGGUUGUACUGUCAUAGUAACCGGUGUGUGUAGACAGGGUGACCCUCCCCUAGAGGAACGGGUUCCGGGGAAACCGCCCAGGAUUCCCCGCUUGGAUUCCCUGCCCUCUAAAAGCUGGGAAUCGAGAUAUAGUCGCCAGACAGUGAAGUCCAUUUCCUCCUCCCUCCUCCCCCCGCCCCCAGCAAAAAUUGCGGGGAUACCCCUUCCAAGGCAUUCGCCGAGGGUAUUUCCACUCUUCCGCGGGUGGAAUCCACCUCCAUAGUUUCCUCUUAGAGCCCGGUGGGGAGACAGCCGGGCCUGAGAAGAAAACGCUGGGUCUGAAGGUGGCGGGUGAUGGGUUGGAGCGGGAAAGCCACGGUGAUAUUGCAGCGCCAGGCUGCGAGGACCUGGAAGGAGUUUCCCCCACAACUGCCUGAGGCCGGCGGGCGGCAACCCCCCCCCCCAUACCCCGACGGGGGUCCCUAAGGGAGAACUGCACACUGCAACCGUGAUGCCGCUCUGACAGGCAGUGGGGAAAGUUCGACUUUUCCUAAUAGGUCAACCCCUUCUCUAGUUGCUACUCCGUGUCACCUGCGAGCCCUCCCGGCAGAGGCUGGCUGAGAGCUGGGACCUGAGGCUAACAUGCUGCUCUUAGGCAUUUAGAAUCAAGGGUGAUCCGGAAGGAUUCCAGAAGCACCCAGUGGGGAUCACACCUCAUCAUCGAAGACUCAUCCCCAAAAUCGUCCCUCCUCAAAAAUCUGCAGUGUUUUCGAACUUGCCACUUUUUUAAUUAGUAAAAAAAAUUGUAUAAAAAGAAGUACCUGAAUUUAUCAGCAUGAGGAAGUCUAUGAAAAUAAUUUUCCAUUUUGAGAAAAAAAAUUUUGCGUAUAUGUAUUUUUGUGUCAAGUUUAGGGGUAAAACAAUGACUCCCAAUGACGUUGAGUCUAUCACGGAGGAAGUCAUUUUGAUUAAGUGAAGUAAUUAUUGGCAUUUUACAGAUUUUAUUUUCAAUUCAUAUUGAAAAGUUAUGUAAGCAGCUAUCCCAAAAUGUUUUAGAGUUAUGUAAGGCCAUAAAAUCCCCCAGGAAUAUAGUCUUCACUGUAUAGUUCAAAUCAGUAUUUCAACGGGAUCUUGGUUUUGGUUUGGGUCUCUGAUUUCUUCUGGUUUUUCAUGCUACCUAAACAAAGGCUUUCCAGAUCCUUCCCUGAAUCCAAUGCCUAUUAGAAACUAGGAUGGAACAUGUUUGAGUUCUCAGGAAACGAAAGUACAGCCCACUUGGAAAUAAAUCUCAAGGACAGAUUGUCAUUAACGAAAUAGAAAGUGAACUAUGCCCCCUCAUGCUGUAAGCAAGCGCCAAGUGUGAUGCGCUGUGGCGCUGUGACGUGCGGUGAGUGCAGAAGCACAAUGGACCCAAUCUUCCACCAGCACCAACGCGCCGCCCACUCACGGGAAAGAGAGCCACCUAGUGAGAAACUGUUCACAUCUCCGGAACUGUCCAGGUUACCAUGGCUACCACAGUGAAAAAGGAUGGUACUUGUCUUAGAAUAACUCACCUUCUGGUAGAGGCACUGCAGUACAAGAAGUGAGAAGAAUGUAAAUGCUGGAUGUGGUCAUUGAGAUAUGGACAAAAUGGAAAGAGAUGUGGUCAGAAACAAA